rnacentral:rRNA from 1 species
GACGAACGCUGGCGGCGUGCUUAACACAUGCAAGUUGAACGGGACGGAUAUUGAAGCGACUUUUCGGAGUGGUGGAUAUAUUUGUUUAGUAGCGGACGGGUGAGUAAUGCAUGAGAACCUGCCCUUCAGAGGGGGACAACAGUUGGAAACGGCUGCUAAUACCCCAUAUGCCGAGAGGUGAAAGGAGCGAUCCGCUGAAGGAGAGGCUCAUGUCCUAUCAGCUAGUUGGUGAGGUAAGUGCUCACCAAGGCGAUGACGGGUAGCCGGCCUGAGAGGGCGACCGGCCACACUGGAACUGAGAUACGGUCCAGACUCCUACGGGAGGCAGCAGUGGGGAAUAUUGGGCAAUGGGCGGAAGCCUGACCCAGCGACGCCGCGUGAGGGAAGAAGGCCUUUGGGUCGUAAACCUCUGUUGUAUGGGAAGAAGGAAGUGACGGUACCAUACGAGGAAGUCCCGGCUAACUACGUG